rnacentral:rRNA from 1 species
CGCCAGACUCCUACGGGAGGCAGCAGUGGGGGAUAUUGCACAAUGGGGGAACCCUGAUGCAGCGACGCCGCGUGGGUGAAGGAGCGUUUCGGCGCGUAAAGCCCUAUCGGCAGGGAAGAAGGAGGACGGUACCUGACUAAGAAGCCCCGGCUAACUACGUGCCAGCAGCCGCGGUAAUACGUAGGGGGCAAGCGUUAUCCGGAUUUACUGGGUGUAAAGGGGGCGCAGACGGCAGCGCAAGCCAGGAGUGAAAGCCCGGGGCCCAACCCCCGGACUGCUUUGGAAACUGUGCUGCUGGAGUGCAGGAGAGGCAAGUGGAAUUCCUAGUGUAGCGGUGAAAUGCGUAGAUAUUAGGAGGAACACCAGUGGCGAAGGCGGCUUGCUGGACUGUAACUGACGUUGAGGCUCGAAAUCGCGGGGAGCAAACAGGAUUAGAUACCCGCGUA